AUAGUUAUUGUUUUUAUUUUUAUUUAUUCCAUUACUUUACUUGUAUAUUUCUAAGCUGAUAGUAGGAACUCUUUAUUAGUAAUUAAUGACCUCCUGUUUUCCUGGAGUUUAAACAUGAUGCGACACAGAGGCCCAUCUCUUCAAAAUGGGAAAGAUAACCUGCUAUCUAAUUAAGGCAUAUCAACAAUAACUACUAGCUUAAACUUAAACAAAGCGAUAAUUAAAACAUUUAAAGCAAAUAAAACUCUGGAUGUGGGAACCAAGUUAGAUGCUUAAGAUGGAAAACAACAUUUUAAAGAAAUAAACUGUAAAAUAAAAUACUUUUCAGUGACAGAUUAUGCGUUUUGACUCUGAAUGGUGUCAAAGAGUCGAAGGUGUUGACGUUAUUGUUGGUUUGUUGCCGUGUGAUGCAGAUUAGGACAGAUUUAGAUCAGGGAUAGAGUUGGGCAGCCCCAGUUUAACCCACUGCUCUCUAUGUUUGCAUUGUUUUAUUUCUGGUUGCCAUGGCAGUACAAGAGCAGGAAGUGAAACAGCUUAGCUCGCAUGUGGCCUGUAUGUAUCAAUAGCACCUUUUAUUUUAAACCAGUUGUGGUCAUUAUGGGACUCUACAAAAGUAAAGUCUUAAACUGGUUUUGAAACCAGCUUCGGUGUCCAUUUUUACCCCACUUCCUGCUCAUGAAUUUACAUUUUUCAAUUCAACAAUAUUUUGUUUAUCCUACAGUGAAAUUAAAUGAUUCAUAGCUCAAUAACCAGGCAGCAGAGACAUUAGCGACUAUCCUGGAUAACAACAUGAGUUGCUAGCAUAGCAAUGCUAAUCCACUUCCUUUGCUUUUGCUGUUUCUCUUUUAAUCUGUUUGGCUGUACAGUUAGACUAUGAAGUCGGGAAUAGAUCUCUACAUCCUUUUCAACUCCUCUGUGGUUCAAGUAUUAUUCCAACUUUUGAGAUGCUAACUAGAUGCUACCAGUUGUAAAAACACACUUUGUUACGGUUAUGCAUCUUGGUGUCAUAAAGUAGAAAAAAGACCAAAAAUCCUUCCAGCUGUACAGUAUUCAGAACCAGAGCUAAUAGAGAAUCACAUCCAGGUUGAGUACUUUUAAGUAAUAUUCCACUUGCUUUAAGUAAAUAAAUAGUAAUUACAUUUAAAAAGCAGCUCCAUUUUAGCUUCAGUCAAUAAAACAAGGUCGGUAACAGCAAUUUAAGUUAAUAUUGAGCUGCUUUUUAGCCUUUUCCUGUUCCGCUGCUAACAUGGUCCAGAUAUUUGUUUUGAUGCUGAAAGCCGCUGCAACCAAGGCAGGAGUGGUUUGUCCUCUUUCCUGAGGGCAAAUGAAGUGGAGGAAAAAAAA